UCCCACCCACCCUAAUUUAUGUUUUGUUUUUGUUUUGUUUUUUGUUUUGUUUUGUCACAGCUAGCGGGGAGCAUGUCCUUGCCAACAGGGUUGGGGAGCAGAUGGAAUGUCAGGAGAUGGACAAGGUGGGUCUCAACCUCCCCUGCUCUGUAAGGUAAACUUUCAAGUUACCGAAUUGGAAGUGCCCACCGAGCUAAGAGCCGGCUGGUGGUUAGAGCAUUUAAGAUGAUGGGAAUUUGGUUUGGACGAGGGGGGAGGCGAGACACCAGUGGGUAAAGUUUUUGGUGCAUAGGCACCUAGUUAAGUUCGUUGGCAAGGACGGUUAUUUAAGUUGAAGGCUGUAGGGCUAUAAGUGUUAAUUUAUUGUUAAUUAUGGUAUGUAUAUAUAUUUAUGUGUUUAUCUAUAUUGGAAUUAGAGGAAAAGAAUGAAGUUCGGAUGUGUCCUACAGUUGUAAGUUUUAAUAAAUGCUGUGACCUGUUUCAUCCAAUAUGCAUUGUCUGUCAUUAUUGGGGGGAUAAGUGGGUAGUCUUUCUUUUAGUCGCACCACAUUCCCCGCUACGUACAUACAUGUAUUUUUAAUACAAAGUCAUGUGUUGUUUAAGACUUUCAGCAGCAUCGCUAGUCACCAAGAAAGAGGGAGAUUUACAUUGAGAUAUACACAUUAGAGAAAUAUGUCUUUGCAUAAAAAGAUUCUACAUAUAUUGUGUGUGGGAUGGAGACGCGGCAUGUAGUCCUGUGGAGCUGCCUUCACUGGCAACAAAAGCAGGAAGCUUUUUGCAACAAAAAACAAACGCUCUCGAUGAGUCAUUCAGGAAAUGUAAACCUCAAUAUAUCCUGUAGAGAAGGAAGGCAAUCUGAAUUAUAUUCUGCACAUAAUAUUAGUAUGUAGAACAGGCCUGAAGAUAAUCCACAGAAUGAUAUAGAGAUUAAUUACUAAAACAUAGUGGACUCUUACAAAGAAGCUGGUUAUUAAAACCCAAGUUGAGAAGCUUAAACUGAGAGGUUGAGUCCUAAAAGUCCUGUAAUGUUCUGUAAUGAGUUUUCCCUUUUCUUUGUCUCUGCUUCAAAUUGACUGUUGGGAAAGGGCUGCUGGACGGAGGCUGAGUGCCAAAUAGACAAGGUGAAUGGCAGCUUCAUUUAUUCAGGGCUGUAAAACACAACUCACACUGACAGACAGCUAGAGACUCAGAGCAAUGUUAGUCUACACUCAGCAGCUUCAUGAUCACACAUAGCUCUAGCCGACAGACACAUAAUUCCCUGGGAGAGACACACUCACAGUCUGAGUCCAAAGGCAAAUGUUCCAGAAAGAUUUAGCUUCAGACAUUACUUUUGUCCAAGAUGAGCUAUUAUCAUACUUUUAUUGUAAUGCACCAACACAUUCUGCCGUGCUGCUCAUGGUUACAAUUGGUACAAGUAAAAAGACAAAGGUACAAUACAUCUAACAGACAAAAUAAAAUUUGACAAACAAAUAUAAGAGGAGUUGAGGAUCCUAUUUCUAUGGGAACGAACAAUCCAGAUGGAUCUUCAGUUUCACCUCAUUAAAAUAUAACUUGAAUUUAGAGUUGUGUUUCUUGCAUAAUAUGUAACCAGAGCCUGCGUUUGGCACAUUAACACAGUGAUCGCUGCAUCUCCCUCGAAACAACCAUCAGCUGAAAACUUUUGGAAGUGGGUUCCAACUCGCCCUGCAGUUCAUUAUAAGCAGCGGCUCCUGUGUGGUCAAUGUCUCCAGCUAUCGGGCAGCAAUGAGGACUGUACAGCACUGUCUCACUGUCGAGAACAUUCAGAGACGAUCUACACAGCAGCUCUGUAACUACAGCUUCACUCAUCCAUGGCUGUAUAAUAAUCCUCGCACUUAGCCAGGGCUGUAUAACAGGAUACCCACUAAAAGCUGUGCUCAGAGCCCCAUCAUAUGAUAAAAAUGUCCUGUUUGUAGUCUUUCCCUGGUGUCCUUUACAUUGGAUCUUCCCCUGGUCACAAUUUGUGUUCACUGUGUUCUCUCUCACGUCUCUGCUGGUGAAUGUUUAAUGUCUGAGCUUCCAGUCUAGUGUGAGAGUUGAAGCUGGCAGGGACUUCCCCUAAACCUCGCCUCUCCUGAAAGCAAGCAUAGCAGUCACAGAAUAACAGUAUAAAUCUGCUCCGGAGCUUCAUUCCCUGCUCCGGAGCUUCUCUUUAACUUUAAUAUUUCUCUUUAACUUGACGUCUUAUGUGCAGAUUUCAAUAUACUGGGGUGUGAUCUACGGAUCAUGCUACCAUACUAAUGAAUAUCACAUAGAGGUUCUGGACCACAAACUGGCUACUGUUAAAUGGCUGACAGAGUGAUUGUAUA